AAGCUUAUCUUUAUCAUGAGUGAGCCAGAACGUCCAUAAAGUGUUUAUUCUUAUUGUAGUUUGGCCUUAUUACAUUUUCCUCGGUAUCAGCCUGUGAAUUUCAAAGGUAGCUUAUAUUUAUCCAGCAGCUCGCUGUGGUUUUACUAAAUCUCGUAGAUCCCUUACAGAACUAACGACAUCUCGGUUGCAGACUUUACCCUUGGGAAAAUUGGCAAUAUCACACAUUUGGAUUUAGCAAGUCCAGGCUGCACUGGAGGAAGAAAACGAAGAAAGCGUCUGUGGGCCUGUGGCUAGGUCGACAACUCCGUCCAACAGUCCAACUCCACUGAGCCAGCCCCGUUUAGAUGACGUGUGUAUCCCUACCCUGUCACGUUUUCCGCCAUUCCCGCCCUCUCAGCUGUCAUGCAGCCCCCCUGACUCGCCACACAGAAGGUGCUGCAUUGGUGGUGUGGUGUCGAGGAAAGUGCCUCUUUGUAUCCCUGCCCGGCACUUUAUUGAAGACAUGAAGGUGCUCCAGAGUUUCAAGAAGGGUGUGGCUUACACACUUUGUUGCACUUCAAGUUUUUGGAGGUCUAGCGACACUGCACUCUGCUUUCAUAAACGUGUGUGCAGAGUGCAAGACAGAGAGGGGCAAGGAUAGAGGAUGCUUCAACAUUCACAGCAUUCAGAGCAUCAUUGGUUCAUGCUUUCUUUUUUGUGGAAAGUAGUGCACACAAUUUUAACUGAAGGAUUAUGUCAACAUUCAUGUUUAUAGAUUUCAUAUAUAUAUAUAUAUAUAUAUAUAUAUAUAUAUAUAUAUAUAUAUAUAUAUAUAUAU